GGAUUAGUGGCGAACGGGUGAGUAUCACGUGAGCAACCUGCCCUUGACUCUGGGAUAAGCCUGGGAAACUGGGUCUAAUACCGGAUAUAACCUCUUACCGCAUGGUGAGUGGUGGAAAGCUUUUGCGGUCUUGGAUGGGCUCGCGGCCUAUCAGCUUGACGGUGAGGUAGUGGCUCACCGUGGCGAUGACGGGUAGCCGGCCUGAGAGGGUGACCGGCCACACUGGGACUGAGACACGGCCCAGACUCCUACGGGAGGCAGCAGUGGGGAAUAUUGCACAAUGGGCGAAAGCCUGAUGCAGCGACGCCGCGUGCGGGAUGACGGCCUUCGGGUUGUAAACCGCUUUCAGCAGGGAAGAAGCGCAAGUGACGGUACCUGCAGAAGAAGCGCCGGCUAACUACGUGCCAGCAGCCGCGGUAAUACGUAGGGCGCGAGCGUUAUCCGGAAUUAUUGGGCGUAAAGAGCUCGUAGGCGGUUUGCCGCGUCUGCUGUGAAAGCCCGGGGCUUAACCCCGGGUGUGCAGUGGGUACGGGCAGACUAGAGUGCAGUAGGGGAGACUGGAAUUCCUGGUGUAGCGGUGAAAUGCGCAGAUAUCAGGAGGAACACCGAUGGCGAAGGCAGGUCUCUGGGCUGUUACUGACGCUGAGGAGCGAAAGCAUG
rnacentral:rRNA from 1 species